rnacentral:tRNA from 1 species
AGAAAUUUAAGUUAACAGACUAAAG